rnacentral:rRNA from 1 species
UACGACUACAUAUCAGGCAUAUCAAUAAGCGGAGGAAAAGAAACUAACAAGGAUUCCCUUAGUAACGGCGAGUGAAGCGGGAAGAGCUCAAAUUUGAAAUCUUCAAGGUUCUACCUUGACGAAUUGUAGUUUAUAGAAGUGUUUUCUGUUAGUGGAGUGGCAAAAGUUCUUUGGAAUAGGACAUCAUAGAGGGUGAGAAUCCCGUAUUUGGUCAUUCCUCCUAGCGUUGUGAUACACUUUCAACGAGUCGGAUUGUUUGGGAAUGCAGUCCCAAAAUGGGUGGUAAAUUUCAUCUAAAGCUAAAUAUUGGCGAGAGACCGAUAGCGAACAAGUACCGUGAGGGAAAGAUGAAAAGAACUUUGAAAAGAGAGUUAAACAGUACGUGAAAUUGUCAAAAGGGAAGCGUUUGACACCAGUGUUGUUUUCUCGAAAAUCAAUUAAAAAGAAGUUGGAUUUUGUAUUGUUAAGACCUUAUCAGCUUACUGUACUUUUUUCUUGCUCUUUUUAAUGCACUUUUCGUUUAACAAGUCAACAUCAAUUUCUUUUGUUGUAAAAGGGUCAUUGGAAGGUGGCUUUCACUUCGGUGAAAGUGUUUAUAGCCUUUGGCUUCUACAAUCGGAGAGAUUGAGGUCUGCAGCGUAGAUCCUUCGGGGUUAGAUACGUAGAUGCUAAGUUAUAGUUUUUUAUAGACAACUUGUUGACUAUGAUUAAUCAUGUAGCUUACUCGUUUACGCUAUUUUACCUACGCUUAGGAUGUUGAACGCGCACAGAGUCUC